CCAGGCUAGAAUAAUGGAGUAGGUAGACUUCCCCUUCUCCAGGGGAUCUUCCCAACCCAGGGACUGAACCCAGGUCUCCUGUAUUGCUUCUGGGACCCCAGUUAUGUUGAUUCAGAGCCCACCACACUCCACUGUGACCUCUCCUCAGUCACUGACAUCUGCAGUCAGGUCCCAUUUGGAGGUGGUUGUAGACCUCCAAGUCAAGAAUGGCAACUGAGCCUCAGAAAUGAAGCUUGGGUUUAGACCCCACAUGAGGAUGGAUGAGAUCUGCUAAUGAAGAAACGCUGGAUAAGAAGGAAGAAGAACUUGAACUCAGUCUUGACCUCCAGAGGCCAAGAAACUUGAAAAGGAGACUGAAGAGGGAAUUACACAGAUCAACCCUCGUGUUCUUCCACAAACUAGAGAGUUUCCCAUCGGGGACAUGACAGACCUGAGGAUUCUGGAUCCUAGAGGUUGAAUAUUUGUUACUACCCAGUGUUACCCAUAAUUAAUGAUUCAUGCAGUUUGUGCUCUUGCUAGUGAAAGAAGCUUUGAUUAAUCUCUUUUUGGAAAGAGAACACACCUUUUCUGAGGGAAGCCAGCCACUUGAUGUCUUCCUUCUCAAGUUUAUCAUUUCACCUUUCAGUUGUACCCAGCCUCUCUCACUGGACUCACUCCUGGGAG
ensembl:lncRNA